rnacentral:rRNA from 1 species
CGAGCACGCGCGUGUGGCAUAUCAAUAAGCGGAGGAAAAGAAACUAACAAGGAUUCCCCUAGUAACGGCGAGUGAAGCGGGAAGAGCUCAAAUUUGAAAUCUUCAAGGGUUUCCCUUGACGAAUCGUAGUUUAAAGAAGUGUUUUCUGUUAGAGAGGUGGUAAAAGUUCUUUGGAAUAGGACAUCAUAGAGGGUGAGAAUCCCGUAUUUGAUCACUUUCUACUAACGUUGUGAUACACUUUCAAAGAGUCGGAUUGUUUGGGAAUGCAGUCCAAAAUGGGUGGUAAAUUUCAUCUAAAGCUAAAUAUUGGCGAGAGACCGAUAGCGAACAAGUACCGUGAGGGAAAGAUGAAAAGAACUUUGAAAAGAGAGUUAAACAGUACGUGAAAUUGUCAAAAGGGAAGCGUUUGACACCAGUGUUGUUUUUCCGAAAAUCAAUUACGAAUGUUUUGUUUUUGAGGAGUUAUGACUUCAUCGGCUUGCUCCUUUCUUUAUGAAACUUUCUUAAUGCACUUUUCGGUUAACAAGUCAACAUCAAUUUCUUUUGUUGUAAGAGGUAAUGAGGAAGGUGGCUUUACUUUCGGAGUAAAGUGUUUAUAGCCUUUUACCUCUAGCAAUCGGAGAGAUUGAGGUCUGCAGCGUAGAUCCUUCGGGGUUAGAUACAUUUGUGCUAAGUUAUAGCUUUUCAUAGACAACUUGUUGACUAUGUUUAGUCUUGUAGCUUACUCGCUGAUGCUAUUUUACCUACGCUUAGGAUGUUGAUGUGAUACUGCGAGCA